UACGGGGGGGGCAAGCGGUUGUUCGGAAUUACUGGGCGUAAAGGGCUCGUAGGCGGCCCUCUCAGUCGGAUGUGAAAUCCCCAGGCUCAACUUGGGAACGGCAUCCGAUACUGGAGGGCUUGAAUUCGGGAGAGGGAUGCAGAAUUCCAGGUGUAGGCGGUGAAAAUGCGUAGGAUAUCUGGAGGAAUACCGGUGGCGAAGGCGGCAUCUGGGACCGAGAUGACGC
rnacentral:rRNA from 1 species